ensembl:lncRNA
GAAACACACUGUGUUGUUAGGGAGAGGAAGGAGAGACUUCUGGUUAGGGCACAGGAGAUGUUGAUUCAAAUUUCUGGUUCUGCAAAAGCCUUCCUCUGUGACCUUGAGUGACUCGUGUACUGCCUUACUCUGAAAUGGCAACAGUGCCCAAAGUAGGAGAGAUAUGGGUGACUGGAUGGAAAAAGACCUUUUGAAAAAACGGGAUAAAACUAGGAGCUACAUAGUUUGGAGCCUUUUUGUAUCUUUUUAUUUUUUUUUUUUCAUAGUUGUAGUAAUGUUAUAUUAAUAAUUUAAUAUUAGUAAUAAAUAGUAAACCCAGUAAUAUUGAAACUGGAUUUGCUUCUUACAGAAUGAGAAGACAGUUUGGGCCACAGUCAGAAUUUGAUAAAGUCUUGGGAAUUUUGAAGUUGAGGCUUGUGGGUUAAGCAUAUCUCUACCCAGAAUAAGAUUACAGUCCAUGAUGAAGUAUGUUUUCAAUUAUACUCUGUUAGAAAAGUAAUGUGAAAUUUAUCUUAAGUUGUCACGGUGCUUCAAAGCAUGGGCUUUUCUCUUUCUAAGUCCUUGAACAAAUGCAGGAUGUGUUGAGGCAAAACUGUUUCCAAUUAAGUUGAUGCAUAAUGCUCUUUAAUGUUUCAGGACUUCAAUUUUAAGUUAAAGAAAUAUCCUUUAGCCAGAGUUCAGAAGGAUAAUUCAGAUAAAAUUUCCUGGAAAGCAGUCAUUUGCCUGAACUCAUGUGGCUGCACUCUGUCAGGAGCUCUGUUAGCACAGUUUGACUCAUAGCUAUGAAUCUCAUCAGAACCAUGCUGACAAAAGUGAGGAUCCAACUCUGUGUUACAUCACUGCAUCUUUAUUCUGUACCGAAGAACCAACUUCAGCUCCCUUGUUAGGUAAGGGAGCACUUAAAGCAUAUAGUGUGUUAAGAGAAAUAAAAGUCAUUCUAGGAAAUGCCUGUGCUGCUUGCAUCCAGUGUACAUUUUUUGCUGUCAUAAGUGUGUGUUGUUCAGAAGAACAAGUUUCUGGUGUUCCAAGCGUUGUUUUUUUUUUUUUUUUUCUGCCCAGCUGAAGCAUCCCUGUUCUUCACUCAUCAUUCUGUGGAGUGCUAGCCUGAAAACUUAUGUUAUGCUGAAGAUUAACAAGGGAUUAAGAGUGAGCAGCGGAUUUUCCAGGUGUUGGCCACAGGGAACCAGUUUGGGACAGUUUCUUUUUUUCUUCAUGCAGUGUUACUGGGUCAGAUAUCCUGGUUAGAUGUUACUUGAAAGCCUGUGUUACUUGACUGGCUGUCUUGGGCUCAAAAAAAAGAUGUUGUUUUUUUUUUCUUUUUCCCCCAAAAAUAGCACAAAGGACUCUCUUAUAUACAUCAAACUAUUUGUUCAGUUGCUAUUUAUUUAAGUUUUCGUCUUGAACUCUGAACCAAUAUACUUUGUACAGCAUUACAUGUCUCAAACGUUUUUGCAUAGUGCAUAGACUUACUGGUUACUUUUUUGGUUCCUUUUCCACUGAAAAAUAUUUCUUAACUGUUGCUAAAAUGUUGAGGUGAUGUAGAUACCUGAUCAAGGAAAAUUUUAUUGUUGGUGAAAGUAUGAUGCGGUUUUUAACUAUCAAAACACAAAUUUUACUGAAAACACUGAUUUUCCUUCUGAAAAUUAUGAAUGCAUAAUUAGUUUUAGUCAAUGCAUGAGAAGAAGUCAUUAAACAAUACUUGAUUUAGAAUGUCACUGUAUUUGUGAGAAGAGGAAUGCUGAAACCAAAUGAAAGAGACUUUUCUUUGCUAAAUGAGAACUUUCAUGAUAAAUUUUCCUACUACAUAAUCAUUGCAUGUUAGAAAAAAAGAGCAUAUUUUAAAGAAACCUUUACCCAACCCCAUUUUUUUUUUUACAGCAGAUGUCAUUUGUUGUUUGUUUGUUUUGUUUUGUUUUAUGUCUGAAAAGAGAUGGGAAAUGUAAAAAAGCAUUCCUUAAGGUAUAUUCCUAGCUUUAUGAUCUUUUUGGGAAUACCUACCUGCUUAUAACUAGGUUUAGGAAAGAUAUAUGCACAAAUCUCUUACAUUUUCCUUACACAUAUGUAUGUACAGUUGCAUGGUUGAAAUGUGGUGUACUUUGUACUCUACAGAAAAAAGAAUGGGUCUCAGAUAACUGAUUAUAUUAAUAUAGGUCAACUAACUAUAGAAUGAGUUGCCUCAUUCAAAGGAUCUUUUGAGUGCUGCCACUUUCCUCGAUAUGUCUAUGAUGUUGAAGGCUGAGUUCACAUCCUGUUUGCCCUGGCUACACUUAAAUGUAUAAAAAAGUCUUGCUGAUGUGGUUUAAGGCUAAAACUCCAUCAAAAGCAUCUUUCACUGCACGGUGAGUGCUCAGGAGGGUACAUGGUAUUUCUUAGCCAUCUCUCUAAUAUGUGUUGUGUAUGUUGAAGACUGUAGAUCCAUCAAUCUACAGCUUUGCUCUGCUGUUUUGUCCCCAGUCAGAUUUAUGCUGUGACAAUAGAUAUAUAACAUUACCCUUAAUUUAGGCUGAAGCAGCGUUCUUAAUCCCUUUGACAGAGGCUAUACCAGAUAUGUAAUGCUUUGAUACCAAGGUGUUGUGCAUGAUAUAAAUAAUUACACAAACACCUUUUCCCUCUCAGAGUAGCAGUGAAACUUUUUUUUGUGAGUAACAAUGUGUAUGCUGGAGGGUUGUCUAGGAGACAGAAAAUAUCUUUGCUAAACAAUGCUGCUAUCCACCACUGUAUUAAAAACGCUUCAAGAUUUGCUUUUGCAAGAGAUUGUGUGUGUCAUUUAUUCACAUAAGUCCUACUUUCUUAGAUGGAAUCUCAAGUGAAAAUAAAAAUAAAUGGAUAUCCUAAAGUCA